rnacentral:lncRNA from 10 species
GGGCGACUGAGUCAAGUUCCAGAGCAGGAAUGAAAGUUUAUUUUAAAAUGCCUUAGAACAGGAACGAAAUGAAGGUGUGCAUGGAAAAGACCCACGCAGGCACAUGAAGGUUAAAGAGAGAAGAGAUGGAUCUCAAAAAAGAAAUCAAAACUGGCUCAGAUUUCCCAAGGAUUUCCAUAUCUAUAUACUAGAAGAUAAUUCAGACUUAUGCAUCUGAGAAGGGUCUCUUUCCUGCCACCUGUGAGGAAGGCGACUUGCUUCCCCUUCACUUUC